ACACCGAUGGUGAAGCGGUUAUCAUGCUUGCCUUCCAUAUUCUCCUUGUCAGGCUGGAGCAAGCGGCAGGGGUUCGACUCCCCUUCGGUGUA